rnacentral:rRNA from 1 species
AUCCUGGCUCAGGAUGAACGCUAGCUACAGGCUUAACACAUGCAAGUCGAGGGGAACGAUAUUGGGAAGCUUGCUUCCGAUAGGGCGUCGACCGGCGCACGGGUGAGUAACGCGUAUCCAACUGCCCAGUCACUUGGGGAUAACCUUGCGAAAGUAAGACUAAUACCCAAUGACGUCUCUAGAAGACAUCUGAAGGAGAUUAAAGAUUUAUCGGUGAUGGAUGGGGAUGCGUCUGAUUAGCUUGUUGCGGGUAACGCCCACCAAGGCGACGAUCAGUAGGGGUUCUGAGAGGAAGGUCCCCCACAUUGGAACUGAGACACGGUCCAAACUCCUACGGGAGGCAGCAGUGAGGAAUAUUGGUCAAUGGACGAGAGUCUGAACCAGCCAAGUAGCGUGCAGGAUGACGGCCCUAUGGGUUGUAAACCUGCUUUUAUAAGGGAAUAAAGUGGGAGUCGUGACUCUUUUUGCAUGUACCUUAUGAAUAAGGACCGGCUAAUUCCGUG